rnacentral:rRNA from 1 species
AAUAAACGCUGGCGGCGUGCCUAACACAUGCAAGUCGAGCGAGAAAGCUCCUUCGGGAGUUAGUAAAGCGGCGAACGGGUGAGCAACACGUGAGAAUCUACCCUUUAGUGAAGAAUACCCUCGAGAAGUCGAGGCUAAUACUGCAUACGUCCCUUCGGGGAGAAAGAUGGCCUCUUUGCUAUCGCUAAAGGAUGAGCUUGCGUACUAUUAGCUAGUUGGCGGGGUAAAGGCCCACCAAGGCGAAUGAUGGUUAACCGGCCUGAGAGGGUGUACGGUCACACUGGAACUUAGACACGGUCCAGACUCCUACGGGAGGCAGCAGUGAGGAAUCUUGCGCAAUGGGCGAAAGCCUGACGCAGCGACGCCGCGUGGAGGAUGACGGUUUUUCGGAUUGUAAACUCCUGUUAAGACGGGAGAAAGCCUUGUUUCUAAUACAAGCAAGGUAUGACGGUACCGCUAGAGAAAGCACCGGCUAACUUCGUGCCAGCAGCCGCGGUAAAGCACGA